AUGUUCACCCUCUGGGACUUUUGACUUCUGCCAGGACAGUAGUUUGCUGGUGAUUCAUAUGUGAACUUCAGAAAAUAAGGACAUCGAGUGAUGAUAUCAGGGAUAUGAUGUCACUUCCAUUCUUUUUAAACUUUUUACAUAUAUAUAAUCACUGUGUCUGGACUCAUAUUAAACGGUAUAGCAAAUACCGUUCAUUUGGAACACUUCUUCUUUCACAAGACCAUCUGGCAGACUGCAAGGUUUUACCAGAUGUUCUGAUUUACAAGUACUGUUGCUCAGCUUAUAAAUAAACUUAUUUUAAGUAGGACCAAAACAACUUAAAAAAAAAACCCCACUGCAUAAAAGGUAAGUCCAAUAUUUUCUUUAGUUACGAAAAUCUACCUAUGGAAAGCUGGAGUACAAAAUUCAUAGAAUAAUAGAAUGGUAGAAUAGUCAGGGUUGGAAGGGGACCUUAAAGAUCAUCCAGGUUGGAUGGGCCUUGGGCAGCCUGAUCCCGUGGGAGGUGUCCCUGCCCAUUGCAUGGGGUUGGAACACUGGAGGAUCUUUAAGGUCCCUUCUAACCCAAACUAUUCUAUGAUCCUAUGUGCUUGCUAAUUAGCAAAGCUUUUUGAUACUGUGUGUGUCCUGUUCUCAUCAGAAACAUUACAACAAACGAAUAAAUCCCAAAGACAUAAAAAAAACUCCAAUUCUAUCUGUUCUCUCAGCAAAUAUGGACUGAAAUUCUGUUUUCUGAUUUCACAUUGUCUCGGUGUGCUAUGGAAGCAUGGUUGCAUUUGUAAGUGUUCCCAUCCUCUGCAAGGAGCUGCUCAGGGCCUUGUAAGGAAUCAGUGACAGCUCUCAUUGGGACUAACUCUGUAAAUCCAUGGUGCAAUAUGAAAUAUAAUCCAGUGUUUGCUUAUGCCCUUUCUGAUUUAAAUCUAGAAAGGAUCUUUCUCUCAUUAGUAGUGGGGUUGUAUUGAUGAGAGUCACUCAUGAUCAUCAAUUUUUACUCUUCUGUACCAUUUUUCUCCUCGGUGACUGUCGCAGAGAGCACUCAGGGUAUUGGAUAGUCUAACCACCUACAAAUCCAGGUGGCAGCAGCUGUUAUUUGCAGCACGUGGCAAAGCUGAACUAGGCCUUCUGCAGCCCAAAGCUUACGGUACUAGUCUUGGUCCUUCCUCAUGGCACCACUUGUCACAUGUUCUGUCCACUCCUGUGUGCUCAUACUUAGCAGCAACUCGUUUUAGUCAUACCCUGCCAGCUAAGACUCUGGUUUUAUUGAUAGCAGGUUUGUAUUUUCAAGAAUUCUUCUUCUGCAUCACAUGUUUUGGUGUAGUGUCAGUGAACAAAUCUCAGUGCAUCAUUUAUAUCUAAGAUUGUGACCCAGAGGAACCCCAUGCUCUUUCCCUAGAAGCACAUUGCGGGACAGGUCUUAAAAUCCCUGAACAUGCGUCUUGCAUGUAUUCUAUGUGUAAUGGAAUGGAGUUUAUCUGGACUUGAGAUACAGACCUCAGAAAACUGAAUAAACAACUCAAUAAUCAACCCUUUCAUAAGGGAAGUAAUUAUAAAAGUGCUGCUCAUAACAUGAGGUUACACUGGAAGAUGAUUAAUACCUUCCAAACCUAAUUUUUCAGGUAGCUUCUACGGAAAAAGAUAUUAGAAUCCUUCCCUGUAGUUAUGCAUUUCCCCAUCUUUGUUGUCUUUUAUCUGGAAUGAUGUCCUAACAGAGAAGAUCUGAAGGAGCGCAGUGAAGUGCUGCUCUGUGUGUGAGGGGAAUUCUGCCAAGGACAAAGGAUAAUUUGAGAGGAAGAGCACAGGAAAGCUACUGCACAUAGCGAAAAUACCAUGGAAUUUACCUCGCUGUGCAUUUCUCUUGGUGCACGUGAACUACUUACAGCCUCAUCUAUUAAAGGACAACUGCAUUUCUGCAUCCAAGAAUCUUUCCAAAACAUCAGCUGCGAAAUGUUAGUGGUAAUAUUUUGGCAAAGGCUUCGCAGGGUUACACCCAAUUUGAGGUUCUCUAUCAGUCUCCACAUCGCUGAGAGCAUUGCAGCGGAACCGUGCGCUCCUGAAUCAUUGCAGAUGAAAACCAUUUGGUGUUGUGCUGAAUCAAAAAGCUCAGCUGAAGCAGAGGCUGAAGGCCAGAUGGCUGGAGGAGCCUUCCACAGGCUUUCCACAGAAAUAAAGCCUGGGCGGGACCUGCCCAGAAGCCCUCGCCCAUCGAUACCUUUCUACAUCUCAGCAGGGGGCUGUGUGUGUAUUCUGCAUUGAUUCAUUACUGUACCUGUUCCCUCGCUUUUUAAUUCAUCCAGUGGAUGAAGGAAAAAGGAACUCCCAUGGAUUUCCUCUCUCAAGGGACUGGCAAGCUGGAGCUCUACAGAAGGUUUUGCCAUUGGGUGUCAGGCGAUAGCCGGAUGGACAAGUGCACUGGUAACUUCCCAGGGUGUUUCUGCACUCAUGCUGACAGGUAUCUCUGGUUUCGCAUUCAUCGACGUCUGUGGGAAGAAGCACGAACACACACACACACACACGAGGAUUAUUCGAUCCUGGUACUGAACUGAGGUAUUUUAUGUCCUAUUCAUACACAAGCAAUGGAUAGACUUGGUAGAAGUUGUGUGGAUCUUGUUUACCGAUGGGGUUGAAUGCCUAAGACUAGCAAGUCCUUUCACACCUACCUGUGCCAUUCCUUAAACACUUUUAAUUAUUAAAGUCCUCACCUUUUUUGAUGGCAGCCACACUAUUUAUUCUGCCUGGAGAGUCCAAACCUGCUAGAGAGUUCUAGUUAGAAAGGGAGAUGUGCAAUCUGAACACCUCAACAAGGUUAUACAAAUAUAGUCUUGCCCCAAAAAGCAAGCCGAGUUGCCUGAUAGUAAGGUUUUAGGCAAUAUGGUUAGUAAAUGCUCAGAUUAAUUAUCUUGCCAAGGGCAAGCCUUCACACUGGGGCCUUGUUCUUACAGUUAAUCCCUCCUUAGGCAAAGCUGUUUCCCUUCCAAACUGAGCUUACUCGUGCCAUGGGGAUGAAUUAAUUAAGCUCAGUAUUUGGGAAGACUAUCAAUAAAUGUUCUUAACUCUUUUUGUUUUCAUUUCCUUCUCAAAUAUAGAAAUAUCAGACCACUUUACAUCAAAUUUGCAAAGCAGACUGGUAUGAUUUAGAUACACAUCACAUACAAUUUCUUUUGAAAUGUCUGCCUAGUUCUGGAGAGCAACAGAGAUCCUACUCGAGUUAGUCUCGUGCAAGAGCUGCACAGUUCAAACAAUGGAAAUAAGGUCUUUGCUUGCCCUCUCUUUGUCUGAUUUACAGGUGUUGCAUUAGAUAAAAAUGCAAAUACAGCAGAGAAACAGAUGCGAUUACGGAAAUCUACACUAUGCUGUGAUCAGAUUCUGUCUAUGCACAGAAUUUCCUUUUAAAAAAGCAUCAUUCGGGUGUAUUUUUUCAUAUUAAACAGUAAUUUUUAAAUGUAGAUAUUAAUUCCAAUGAAGCAGAAGUAAGAGAAUAUUAACUUGUUCAACCUGGAAGUUGGGGUGAAGAUGAGAGAUUUUAGCUCAACUAAAGCCAUAGAUGUAUUCCUAGGUCUGUCAGUUAAAUUGCUAAGCCACCAAACUCCAUGUAUACGACCACUGAAAUGUCUUUAUAAUGUCAAUAAAGGGUUUGAUGUCUGCCUUUCUACAAUUUUUAUUAAGAAAUAAACUUUUAUCUCUUAAUAAAUUUUUAUUGAGGAUAAUUAAUACAUUUUUAUUAAGGAUAUUCACAUUUUUCAACAUCACACAUUGCUAUAUAACUCUAGCCAUAACAGUGGUUGCUAGAAUCCAGCUGUAGAUCACUCUGUCUGUCCCUGAAGGAUACUGUCUCUCUAUAAAGUGCCCUGGUGUAUGUGCUAGGUUGAAGCACAUCACUUACGCACCCCAAGCCGCUGUGCUAAGUGCACUGGCACGAGCUCCAGUAAAGCCUAAAUGGGGUACCCCCAGUCCUGAACUCACCAGUGUUAUUACACGAUAACUUAACUGGAUUUUUUUUUUCCUAAGAUACUCAAACUGUGAGUUAAGUUGGCAAAAUUUGGCUUAACAGAAGCAUAUUUCAGAAACUGAACUCAUUUGUUAUGUCCCCUCUGUCUUCUGGGCAAAGCACCAGGUCUGGCGAUGCCUCCUGGAGCAGGAGGGAGCCCUGCGAGUCCCCUCUCCUGCCAACAUCUGUCUGACAUCUGUCUGUGAGGAGAACGUGUCCCAGGGAGGCUGAGACAGAGCAUCCCAGUUACGGGUACAAACUGGAGAGGGG